CUUGGGGACGAGGUCAUCGGUAUCUGGUCCCGUAACACUGAUAAAGCAGACGUCACUUGUGCCUGUGUGUCCCACUCGGGCCUUAACAUCGUCACAGGAGAUGAUUUUGGGAUGGUAAAGCUGUUCGACUUUCCCUGUCCAGAGAAGUUUGCCAAACACAAACGCUUUCUGGGCCAUUCUGCUCAUCUGACAAAUGUACGCUUCACAAAUGGAGAUCGUUUUGUGUGAGCGCCGGCGGAGAUGACAGAAGCCUCUUUGUGUGGAGGUGUGUCCACGCCCCACACUGAGGAUCACACUAACACCAUCCUGCCUCAAAGAGUCUGGGCGUCUCCUGGCAUGACUCUCCAGAGAAAAACAAAAAAACAAAAGACACCCCUGAUGGAUGCGUUUAGACGACGAGGAGGACGACAGACCUGGCAGCUUGUAAAUGAGUGGUGAUUCGACUUACUGCCUCAAAACUAGGUGCAUGCAUGUGUGCAAGGCUCAUUUUGGUAUCACAGUCCUGAUUGUGAAAACAGGUGGAGGGCAAACGGCCCUGCUCUCAUGACAUCACAUAUUCAUUAACCCUCUUGUUGUCCUCAUUUACGGGCACCAAAAAACAUUGUUUUCUUGUCUGAAAAAAAUCCCAAAAUUCAGCAAAAAAAAUUCCCCAAAUUUCUGAAAAUUUGCAAAACCUUCAGGAAGAAAAUUCCAAUAAUUCCUUAAAAGUUUUAUUUUUAAAAAAUCCCCCGAAUUUGGCAAGAAAAUUCUUGUAAGUACAGUGGGUACGGAAAGUAUUCAGACCCCUUUAAAUUUUUCACUCUUUGUUUCAUUGCAGCCAUUUGCUAAAAUCAAAAAAGUUUAUUUUAUUUCUCAUUAAUGUACACUCAGCACCCUAUCUUGACAGAAAAAAAACAGAAAUGUAGAAAUUUUUGCAAAUUUAUUAAAAAAGAAAAACUGAAAUAUCACACGGUCAUAAGUAUUCAGACCCUUUACUGUGACACUCAUAUUUAACUCACCUGCGGUCCAUUUCUUCUGAUCCUCCUUGAGAUGGUUCUACUUCUUCAUUGGAGUCCAGCUGUGUUUAAUUAAACUGAUUGGACUUGAUUAGGAAAGGCACACACCUGUCUAUAUAAGACCUUACAGCUCACAGUGCAUGUCAGAGCAAAUGACAAUCAUGAGGUGGAAGGAACUGCCCAAGGAGCUCAGAGACAGAAUUGUGGCAUGGCACAGAUCUGGCCAAGGUUACAAAAGAAUUUCUGCAGCACUCAAGGUUCCUAAGAGCACAGUGGCCUCCAUAAUCCUUAAAUGGAAGAAGUUUGGGACGACCAGAACUCUUCCUAGACCUGGCCGUCCAGCCAAAGUGAGCAAUCGUGGGAGAAGAGCCUUGGUAGGAGAGUGGUAAAGAAGAACCCAAAGAUCACCGUGGCUGAGCUCCAGAGAUGCAGCAGGGAGAUAGGAGAAAGUUCCACAAAGUCAACUAUCACUGCAGCCCUCCACCAGUCGGGCCUUUAUGGCAGAGUGGCCUGACAGAAGCCUGUCCUCAGUGCAAGACAUAUGAAAGCCCACAUAGAGUUUGCCAAAAAACACAUGAAGGACUCCCAGACUAUGAGAAAUAAGAUUCUCUGGUCUGAUGAGACCAAGAUUGAACUUUUUGGCGUUAAUUCUAAGCGGUAUGUGUGGAGAAAACCAGGCACUGCUCAUCACCUGCCCAAUACCAUCCUAACAGUGAAACAUGGUGGUGGCAGCAUCAUGCUAUGGGGGUGUUUUUCAGCUGCAGGGACAGGACGACUGGUUGCAAUUGAAGGAAAGAUGAAUGCGGUCAAGUACAGAGAUAUCCUGGAAGAAAACCUCUUCCAGAGUGCUCUGGACCUCAGACUGGGCCGAAGGUUCACCUUCCAACAAGACAAUGACCCUAAGCCACAGCUAAAAUAACAAAGGAGUGGCUUCGGAACAACUCUGUGAUCAUUCUUGACUGGCCCAGCCAGAGCCCUGACCUAAACCCAAUUGAGCAUCUCUGGAGAGAUCUGAAAAUGGCUGUCCACCAACGUUCACCAUCCAACCUGACAGAACUGGAGAGGAUCUGCAAGGAAGAAUGGCAGAGGAUCCCCAAAUCCAGGUGUGAAAAACUUGUUGCAUCAUUCCCAAGAAGACUCAUGGCUGUACUAGCUCAAAAGGGUGCUUCUACUCAAUACUGAGCAAAGGGUCUGAAUACUUAUGACCGUGUGAUAUUUCAGUUUUUCUUUUUUUAAUAAAUUUGCAAAAAUUUCUACAUUUCUGUUUUUUUCUGUCAAGAUAGGGUGCUGAGUGUACAUUAAUGAGAAAUAAAAUGAACUUUUUUGAUUUUAGCAAAUGGCUGCAAUGAAACAAAGAGUGAAAAAUUUAAAGGGGUCUGAAUACUUUCCGUACUCACUGUAUUUUCAAAAAAUGAGUAAACAUCUUGGGCUGCACAGUGGUGUAGUGGUUAGCACUUUCGCCUUGCAGCGAGAAGAUCCCUGGUUCGCGUCCCGGCUUUCCCGGGAUCUUUCUGCAUGGAGUUUGCAUGUUCUCCCUGUGCAUGCGUGGGUUCUCUCCGGGUACUCCGGCUUCCUCCCACAGUCCAAAAAUAUGCUGAGGUUAAUUGAUUAUUCUAAAUUGCCCGUAGGUGUGAAUGUGAGAGUGCUUGUUUGUCUAUAUAUGUAGCCCUGCGACAGACUGGCGACCUGUCUAGGGUGUCCCCUGCCUUCGCCUGAGUCAGCUGGGAUAGACUCCAGCCCCCCCGUGACCCUAAUGAGGAUUAAGUGGUGUAUAGAUAAUGGAUGGAUGGAUGGAGUAAACAUCUUCCAAAAAAAUCCUAAAAAUAUCUAAAGUGAUUACAUAUAUAUCAGUAAAACUUCUAUUUUGUUUAAGAACAUUCACAAAAAAAUCUACCAAAAUCCACUGAAAUUUGCUGGAUUUUGGUAGAUUUUUUUGUGAAUGUUAAGAAACAUUUUUAACAUUUCUUUUUUUCCACCAAAUAAUGUUCAAAGAUUUCCCAAAAAUGUUGAAAAUGUGGACAUCAGAAGUUUCACUGUGAAAAUAUUUUUUUUCCCCACAUUUUCAAACUGAAACUGGUCAAUUUUGACCCGCAGGACAACACGAGGGUUAAGAAGAAGAAAAAAAAACCAUCUGUGCAUAUCAUGUCUGAUGGAUUCUUUUUUUUAAAUGAGCUUAUCUGUGUACAUGUCCCAAAUGGCAGUUUUGCCAAGUCUUGGCAGGCCUCUGAAUUUUGUGUUACUGACAAUGCCAUUUUUUU